rnacentral:rRNA from 1 species
UACGUAGGGGGCUAGCGUUGUCCGGAAUCAUUGGGCGUAAAGGGCGUGUAGGCGGCCCGGUAAGUCCGCUGUAAAAGUCAAAGGCUCAACCUUUGAAUGUCAGUGGAUACUGCCGGGCUAGAGUCCGGAAGAGGCGAGUGGAACUCCUGGUGUAGCGGUGGAAUGCGCAGAUAUCAGGAAGAACACCAGCGGCGAAGGCAGCUCGCUGGGACGGUACUGACGCUGAGACGCGAAAGCGUGGGGAGCGAACAGG